AAGUCGUAACAAGGUUUCCGUAGGUGAACCUGCGGAAGGAUCAUUAUCGAGAGCGGCGGUGCCCUAGCCAUGGGCCCGAUCCGUCCCACCCCUUGUCUACCUGCCUCUGUUGCCUCGGCGAACGGGUGCGCUCGUUCGUCGAAGGCCCCCCUAACAACGCUUUAAUGGUGGGGUUCUGAGUGUCGAUUUUAAUAGCACUAAAACUUUCAACAACGGAUCUCUUGGCUCUG
rnacentral:misc_RNA from 1 species